rnacentral:tRNA from 1 species
GGGGUUGUAGCUCAGUGGUACAGCACUUGCCUUGCAUGCAUGAGGAACUGGGUUCAAUCCCCAGCACCACA